UCCAGCACAGCACAGCCGCCCAGGUAAAGAGUAUAAAUCCCAUGCACAGCAGGAGCGACAUUCAGUGGAAUUAACAGGAUCACUUUUUAAAGGGAUGAGUUUAACUUGAGGCAGCGUGGUAGUGCAGAGGUCAGCGGCGCUGGGGCCCCCGGUCGAUCCCGGGAGCUCUGUCUGUGUGGAGUCUGUACGCUCCUCCUGAUGUGAGUGUGAGUGUGUCUGUGGGGCCAGAUGGGUCAAAUGGACACCGGUCCUGUCCGGAAGACGAUCGUUUCAAUGCUGGGGGGGGAGUCACGUGGUCAAAGGACGCACUUCCGGCGAAUCGGCCCGAAUCUCUAAGAAACGCAGAGAGCGGCGGUGUUGCCGGCGAGGCGAGGAGUAGACCUACGCUUUCUGCUCAUAAUAAUGCAAGUGACCUGACUCAAUUCACAACCCGAUUGUAUCGGCUAUUUAUAAAGCAAGAGGUCCCGGAGCUCACACCUGUCCGCUCUGUGGCAUGAGGCCAUUUCCACAGCCCGUCUACAGAAUGAAGAAACAGCGUGUGGGCAGCAACACCAAGGUCCUGACCUUUCGGACAAUCAAAUCUUUCCUCACCUGGUCUGUGAGUAACUGACACCUGAGACUCAGACGGAAAACCUGAGGUGUUUCAGAGACUUCCUACACAGUGCUUUCAUUAAUUUCACUGCCACCCAGAGUGAAGCCACCAGUUCACAUGUAUCUGCGAAGGGUCUGUGACGAACAACCAGAGCUAUUUUUUUGUUUUACAACACGAUUGUAUUUUGUUAUGCUGCAUGUAAAUAAUCCAGAAGGCGGUAGGACUGAUAUUUGUGUUCCCGAGUGUGUAUGCGAACUGUGUCUGUGAUUUUAUAGAGCUUAAUGUUUUGAACUUUGUCUACACACACUGUGGACUGUGCUGCUGUCACCCCUGUGAACCGCUUUCCAAUCUGUGCACAAACCUUUAAAAGCGCUUUCAUUUACAAUUUAGGUUGGGAUGUUUUUUUUUUCCCCAAGUGCUUCUCUUAGAUGAAAAUAAACUUGAUUUAAUAAUAUUCUAUUAUAUUCUAAAAAAUGUAAUCGCAUCAUUCCAAA